rnacentral:misc_RNA from 1 species
CUUUUUUUUUUUUUGAAAGCUUUCAGUCUAAGUGAGGUUGAUUUUAUCAUUGAAAGGAUCUAAAAUUUAUGGUUGAUAUUACCAUUUUUUGUCAUCAGAAGAGCAGUGUUAUCCGUGUCAACAAAUCAAACACAUGUUGUCAUUUGGCUUCCCCUAUUAAUUUGAAACGGGAAAUAGUUUGCUUUUCGAUUACCCAACUUGCCCCAGUUAAAUGGAUUUAUAUAGCUUACUUUAUUUUUGACUAGAUAAGCUGCUGAAUUAGGUUUGCCCAUUUAUUAGUUUCUAGUGGCCUUGGAUCUUUUUGAAGAUGUAUCCCAAAACCUGGUAGAAUGGAGUAAACAUAUGCAUAUAGCUGACUCCAACUAUUUGGGAUUAAGUAUAAGUUGAGUUUUCUUAAAUUGUAACAUUCCUGAGUUGGGUCGAGUUGUAGUCAUAAAUUGUACCUUCAUGAUAGUUCAUGCAUUAAAUCUAGUCAUUUAGGUUGCGAAAUUUUCAGUUAACUCAGUACUAGUAUGUUAGUUUGAACCGUGAACAUAUGAUUCUUUUGCUUUCAGCUGACAAAAGAACUGUGAAAUAGAUUUAUGAGUUGAUUUAUCAUGUACUUGUUCUAUGGGUCAUAGUGACGAAUAAAUGUUGGGGUUUUUCUUGUUUUACUUAUAUGGUUUACUAUAAGCAGG